CAUGUACUCCCGCCGUCCGGAAAUACUUGUCGAAGAGAUGCAUAAAAAUGAAUGUAUCUAAAACUAAAAUAUAUCUAGAUACAUCCAUUCCUCCGACGAGUAUUUCCGGACGGAGGGAGUAUAUA
rfam:Triticum aestivum genome assembly, contig: Triticum_aestivum_CS42_TGACv1_scaffold_030870_1BL